GAUGAACGCUAGCUACAGGCUUAACACAUGCAAGUCGAGGGGAAACGGCAUUAAGUGCUUGCACUUUUUGGACGUCGACCGGCGCACGGGUGAGUAACGCGUAUCCAACCUUCCCAUGACUAAGGGAUAACCUGCCGAAAGGCAGACUAAUACCUUAUGGUCUUCACUGACGGCAUCAGAUGUGAAGUAAAGAUUUAUCGGUUAUGGAUGGGGAUGCGUCUGAUUAGUUAGUUGGCGGGGGAACGGCCCACCAAGGCAACGAUCAGUAGGGGUUCUGAGAGGAAGGUCCCCCACAUUGGAACUGAGACACGGUCCAAACUCCUACGGGAGGCAGCAGUGAGGAAUAUUGGUCAAUGGGCGAGAGCCUGAACCAGCCAAGUAGCGUGCAGGAAGACGGCCCUAUGGGUUGUAAACUGCUUUUGUAUGGGGAUAAAGUCAAUCACGUGUGAUUGUUUGCAGGUACCAUACGAAUAAGGACCGGCUAAUUCCGUGCCAGCAGCCGCGGUAAUACGGAAGGUCCGGGCGUUAUCCGGAUUUAUUGGGUUUAAAGGGAGCGUAGGCUGGAGAUUAAGUGUGUUGUGAAAUGUAGACGCUCAACGUCUGACUUGCAGCGCAUACUGGUUUCCUUGAGUACGCACAACGUUGGCGGAAUUCGUCGUGUAGCGGUGAAAUGCUUAGAUAUGACGAAGAACUCCGAUUGCGAAGGCAGCUGACGGGAGCGCAACUGACGCUGAAGCUCGAAGGUGCGGGUAUCGAACAGG
rnacentral:rRNA from 1 species